rnacentral:rRNA from 1 species
UAGGGAAUAUUGGACAAUGGGGGCAACCCUGAUCCAGCCAUGCCGCGUGAGUGAAGAAGGCCCUCGGGUUGUAAAGCUCUUUUGUCCGGAAAGAAAAGCUUCGGGUUAAUACCCCGGGGUUCUGACGGUACCGGAAGAAUAAGCACCGGCUAACUUCGUGCCAGCAGCCGCGGUAAUACGAAGGGUGCAAGCGUUACUCGGAAUUACUGGGCGUAAAGCGUGCGUAGGUGGUUGUUUAAGUCUGAUGUGAAAGCCCUGGGCUCAACCUGGGAAUGGCAUUGGAAACUGGGCAGCUAGAGUGCGGUAGAGGGUAGUGGAAUUCCCGGUGUAGCAGUGAAAUGCGUAGAGAUCGGGAGGAACAUCUGUGGCGAAGGCGACUGCCUGGACCAGCACUGACACUGAGGCAUGAAAGCGUGGGGAGCAAACA